AUGAUCCGAAAGUUUUGGUGGGGAAGUAAGAAGGGUAAGAUGAAGGUGGCAUGGGUUUCCUGGGAUGUAAUGACAAGGCCAAAAGAUUUGGGAGGCCUUGGUUUUAGAGAUCUAGAACUAUUGAACAUGUCUCUUCUUGCCAGACAGGUUUGGAGGAUUUUACAAGACCCCAACACUCUAAGUGCGGGAAUUUUGAAAGUUGACUAUUUCCCUAAUAAUUCAAUUCUAAAUUCCACUUUGGGGACCCAUCCCUCGUAGAUAUGGAGGUCAAUUCUAGAAGGGCGAUAUGUCUUACCUCAGGGGCUGAUUAGGCGGAUUGGUGAUGAACGGACAACAGAAAUAUGGGGUCACAAUUGGCUUCUGAGAGAAGGGAGUAUGAGACCAAUCACCAUAGCUCUGGCAAGUAACUUAUUUUAUGUGAGCGGUCUCAUUGAGGCCUCAUCUGCUUCUUGGAAGGAGGACUUGAUCCGAGGAGUGUUCCUACCAAUGAAUGUUGCAAUCAUACUCAGUAUUCCCCUAUGUACAAGGAACGUCCAAGACUUCUCGUCGUGGGCAUGUGAAAAGAAGGGAACAUUCUCAGUCAGGUCUACAUAUCGUAUGAUGAUCAGUACGAGAAUUAGAAGAGAGAAUUGGCUUUACAAUGUUGGCCCAUCUACAUCGGCAUCCCAGACAAAAGAUUGGGCAAACUUAUGGGGAGUGUAG
rnacentral:rRNA from 1 species